rnacentral:rRNA from 1 species
AGCGAACGCUGGCGGCAGGCCUAACACAUGCAAGUCGAACGAAGUCUUCGGACUUAGUGGCGGACGGGUGAGUAACACGUGGGAACGUACCUUUUGGUUCAGAACAACUCAGGGAAACUUGAGCUAAUACCGGAUGAGCCCUUAGGGGGAAAGAUUUAUCGCCGAAAGAGCGGCCCGCGUUAGAUUAGCUAGUUGGUGAGGUAAAGGCUCACCAAGGCUACGAUCUAUAGCUGGUCUGAGAGGAUGAUCAGCCACACUGGGACUGAGACACGGCCCAGACUCCUACGGGAGGCAGCAGUGGGGAAUCUUGCGCAAUGGGCGAAAGCCUGACGCAGCCAUGCCGCGUGAAUGAUGAAGGUCUUAGGAUUGUAAAAUUCUUUUACCAGGGACGAUAAUGACGGUACCUGGAGAAAAAGCCCCGGCUAACUUCGUGCCAACCGCCGCCGUAAUAC